rnacentral:rRNA from 1 species
GCUCAAAUUUGAAAUCUGGCCCCCCGCGGGCCCGAGUUGUACUUUGGAGAGGACGCUUCUGGCGCGGCGCCGUCCGAGUUCCCUGGAACGGGACGCCGGAGAGGGUGAGAGCCCCGUACGGGCGGCCGCCUAGCCUCUGCGAAGCUCCUUCGACGAGUCGAGUAGUUUGGGAAUGCUGCUCAAAAUGGGAGGUAAAUUUCUUCUAAAGCUAAAUACCGGCCAGAGACCGAUAGCGCACAAGUAGAGUGAUCGAAAGAUGAAAAGCACUUUGAAAAGAGGGUCAAACAGUACGUGAAAUUGUUGAAAGGGAAGCGCCUGUGGCCAGACUUGCGCCCCGCGGACCACCCGGCGCCUCGCGCGCCGGGGCACGCCAGCGGGGCGCAGGCCAGCAUCGGCUCUCUCGGGGGGACAAAGGCCGCGGGAACGUAGCGCCCUCGCGGCGUAUUAUAGCCCGCGGCGCCAUGCCCCCGGGGGGGCCGAGGACCGCGCUCCGGCAAGGAUGCUGGCGUAAUGGCCACCGGCGACCCGUCUUGAAACACGGACCAAGGAGUCAAGCAUUGGGGCGAGUGUCUGGGUGGCAAGCCCGCACGCGGAAUGAAAGUGAACGCAGGUGGGAGCUUCGGCGCACCACCGACCGAUCCUGAUGUCCUCGGAUGGAUUUGAGUAGGAGCCCCGCCGCU